GACGAACGCUGGCGGCGUGCUUAACACAUGCAAGUCGAGCGAUGAAGCUCCUUCGGGAGUGGAUUAGCGGCGGACGGGUGAGUAACACGUGGGUAACCUGCCUCAUAGAGGGGAAUAGCCUUCCGAAAGGAAGAUUAAUACCGCAUAAGAUUGUAGUUCCGCAUGGAACAGCAAUUAAAGGAGUAAUCUGCUAUGAGAUGGACCCGCGUCGCAUUAGCUAGUUGGUGAGGUAACGGCUCACCAAGGCGACGAUGCGUAGCCGACCUGAGAGGGUGAUCGGCCACAUUGGGACUGAGACACGGCCCAGACUCCUACGGGAGGCAGCAGUGGGGAAUAUUGCACAAUGGGGGAAACCCUGAUGCAGCAACGCCGCGUGAGUGAUGACGGUCUUCGGAUUGUAAAACUCUGUCUUUGGGGACGAUAAUGACGGUACCCAAGGAGGAAGCCACGGCUAACUACGUGCCAGCCGCCGCGGUAAUAC
rnacentral:rRNA from 1 species